AAUGGAGAAAUCAUAAGCAUGAGGAUAGCUUUCAAGCCAACAGCUACCAUUGGGAAAAAGCAGAAUACAGUGACCCGAGAUAAGAAAGAGGUUGAGCUGAUUGCCCGUGGUCGUCAUGACCCCUGUGUCGUCCCAAGAGCUGUACCAAUGGUUGAAGCUAUGGUAGCUCUUGUUCUUAUGGACCAGUUGAUGGCACAAUAUGGACAAUGCAAUCUGUUCCCAAUCAACUCAGACCUGCAGUCACCGAUCGAACCAAAGCCCG
rnacentral:misc_RNA from 1 species